GUGUGUGUGUGUGUGUGUGAGGGGUCGGGUGGAUGUAAUCUUUUAAAGUUUAUGACCGAACCUUUAUUGGGGAGCGUCAAGAGAUCGCCGGGACUCAGUUUGGAUGGAGCAGAGCUGGUAUACUCAAGCCUAUUGCGAAAUUGCCUAAACUGGUAUUAACUAUUCCUGGUAAAUCGCAGAGAAGAGUGGCCUGAACAAAAAGCCAGACCGAGACUUUAGAACCUCCUGCCGUGUAACAAGGACAUCUUUGAACAAAGAGACGCCGAGUGGCUCGUGUCGUCCGGUUUGGAUAUCAACGGCAAAGCGAACGUUGUGUGUACUAUUGCAAGAUCUAUAGCGGAUCUCCACGGUUAGGAUACAGACCACAACGCUUUGGACGUGUUUAUAAAAAAGAGAAAAAUCUGAGACUUUUUGGAUUUGUCUAUGGACAUUUUAAACAUUUUGUAGCAAAUUGGAUUUUACACAUUUCGGAUACUGGAUACCUAUGCUUGAAUUGUCACAGAGCUUGUCACAUUUUAAAAGCACUUGGGUAAGUGUCUAAUUAUAAAUUGUUUUGAUGUUGUUUUAAACUUGCGUUCUUAAUACAUUUUGUUUUAUUUUUCAUCGUUUAUAUAAUCCGUUUUUAUACUCAU